AGAACGGGCAAUGCAGUUUCUUUAUUUUCCUACACCAAAUACAUAUGUUACAAACACAAUGUAAUAAUACAAGUACUUCGCUGUCUCGGUUGGGAAUGCAAAAACAAAAGGUCUUCUCAGAGGAACGAAGUUUUAGCAGUAGCAAUUCCAAGGGCCAAACUGUUGUAAAACAGUGGUGGUACACCAUCCAAACACAACAGUAUGAAAAAAGGGGCAUCAACAUUAGGCAUGAACAACAUCUGCAACAGAUACUUGCAAGCACAACAACCUGCCCCCUCGUCUCUAAUUAUCUUGGUAACCUGCGACACAACAAAGUACUAGAGGCCGAGCGCAAAGAGGAACGAUAGAUUCCAUACAUUCCUGUCGUUCUAGAGGCCGAGCCCUCCAAUCUUGUCAAAAACAGCGAGUGUUCUUCCCCUUCUGUUCUUCCCUCCAACCGCAACUUCUCUCUGUUAUCACGAGCAGUGCUGAUAACGUAUUACAGUUCAGUGAAAACGAGAUUCGAGAGAAUAGUGCAAAUGACAGUUUUUCCUUUAUUACAACAGAGAUUAUAUUUAUAUAUAUAUGAAGGAGUACAUUGUCAAAAAAUGUAUCCUUAAGAAUCAUCUGUCGCACCCCUUGAAUUGAUCACAAAUAUAAUAUUUUAUAACACCCCUGCAAAGAUCCUCUCAACUCUCAACUCUCAACCCGGGACGUGCCGUGUUCCCCAAACCGUCGCCACUGCAGACCAGUCCAACGCUGAGCCGGAUCCACAUCAACUAGUGCCAAACUGUCAGGGCCAGCCGCCCUCCGGGGGCCCCACUGCCAGUCUGCGCGGCCCUCUACUCCACCGCACCGGGUAAAGGGUAGGCAGAAGAAACUAGACGCAAGUCCACACCAAUCCGACGGCCUACGCUGCCUCGAUGUAAUCGCACGGUACUCGGCUCAGAGCUGUCUAUUUCUGAACUGUUUGCUAUCAAGCCACUUCCACUGUGGGCCCAUAUAUCUUGGCCAGCUCUGUCAGUGAUGUCCAAUACCCAAACCCGAGGUACGCCUGGGCCCAGCAAUUAACUAAUAAUAUCUCGUGCUAAAAAAACAGAGACGAAAAAAAAAGAAAAACAAGGCAGGAGAAAAAGAUGCUUUUGGCAUCAUCCAGCCCACCACGUCUCUCCCGCUCUCCGGCCCGCUCUCCACCCACCCCCUCUCAAAAGAAACACACGCCCCUCGGAUACCGCCACGUCAGCGAUCCGCGCCUCUCGAUCCGAGCACUCGCAUUGGCCGCGCGCGAGACCCACUAGCCAACCUCCCUGCGCCUGGUCCAGGGCGCGCCCCGUGAACCGCUCCCCUCUUCCCCCAAUGGCGAGGAAAACACCCACCCCGUAUAAGAUCACUCUGUAUUUCAAAUCCCCUCGCAUCCAAACACUUCCGUGGAAAAAAAACAAUUAAUAAUUUAUUACUGGCAGAAGGGGGAAGAAGAGAUGGUGGACGAGGCAUGGGAGCGGGCGGUGGAGGCGGCGCUGCACGCCGGCGGCGAGGGGAGCUCGUCGCCGGCGCGGAGCCUGACGCUUGACGGCGCCGUCAAGUGCACGCACGGGCGGCUGCCGGCGGCAGAGAUACUGGAGCGGCACCAGAGCCUGGAGCACCUUUCGAUCGCUGGCGUCGGGGUCACGUCGCUCGAGGGUUUCCCGCGGCUGCGGAACCUCACGCGGCUCACCCUCUCCGACAACCGCAUCGCCGGCGGUCUCGACCACCUCGUCGCCGCUGGCCUGUCCUCGCUGCGGGACCUCGACCUCAGCAACAACCGCAUCCAGGACGUUGACGACCUCGCGCCACUCGCCGACCUGCGCCUCGUCUCGCUCGACCUCUACGAGUGCCCCGUUACCCGUGUCAAGGACUACAGAUCCAGGGUCUUCGAGAUGAUCCGGACGCUCAAAUACCUGGACAAGAUGGAUGCCGACGAGAACGAGCGCCCCGAGUCCGAUGACGACGAUGACGACGGCGAGGGCGAUGGCGAGGGCGAUGGCGACGAUGAUGACGAAGAUGAAGAAGACGAGGAAGACCCUGGGAGCGGCGAGGUAGCGAACGGCGGCGUCGCCCAUGCGCGCGCGGGCGUGCCCUCGCACCCGGUGGAGGUGAAUGGGGUGAUCGAUGUGGACGAGGAGGAGAGCGACGCUGACGAGGUCAUCCCGAACGGUGGUGUCGAGCACAGCCAUGGCGCAAACGGGUUUCGUGUCGCGGCUGCUGGCGAAGCCCGUGGCGAGGAGGAUGAGGACGUGGAGGAAGAUGACGACGACGACGAUGACUUUGAGGAGGAGGAUUUGGGGGAGGAGAUUGAUGAGGAUGUUGAUGACGAGGAUGCUGUUGUGGAGGUGCAUGAUGUACCAAGUAGUGACGAGGAGGAAGAUGGCGUGGAGGAGGAUGAGGAAGAAGAGGAUGAGGACGAAGAUGAUGAAGAAGAGGAGGAGGUUGAGGAUGAAGGUGAAGAGGCGGAGCCACAGAGCAGUGGUAGGGUUGCCAUGAUGACAGGCGAGGAUGAAGGAGAAGAGAUAGAUGGGCAUGAACAUGGAGAAGGGGACGAUGAGGAUGAAAAUGGUGAGAUUGGUGAAGAGGAUGAGGAGGGAUUGGAGGUGGGGAAUGAUGACGACGAAGACGACGCAGAUGCGGAUGAUGAGGAUGAAGAUACUGAAUAUCUUGUGCAACCAAUCGCUCAGCCUCAAGCCAUGGCUAUUGGAAGUGAAUUAGAUGGAGUUGACCCUGAUGAUGCUGACGAGGACAAGGAAGAAGUCGACAACGAUGAUGAUGGGGCCACAGAUCAGCCUUCAUCCUCGCAUGGAGCCAAGCGGAAGAGAGAUGAUGAUGAUCUGUCAGGCAGUGGUGAUGACAGUGAGGAUGACGGUGUUGAGGACUUGAGGCCCUUCAAGCACAAGUGAUGGAGCAGCCAAUGUACAUGGAUCCCUCCCUCCCCCUUCUUCAGCUAGAAGUAAGCAGCAAGAUCAGCAGCAGCAGGAGGAGGCAGCAGGAACAGAAAUAUGGUCAGGGGGAUGUCGCGGUCGGCGGGCGUACCCUCUUUGGUGACUGCGGAUGGAUUUGUGGUUCAUGGGUGGAUGGAUUUCAGGAUUUGGAAUUACGCGAAGUUACGGCGCGGUUGUUGCUCCCACCGGAAUCCCUGCCUGCGCGAGCGGGACGGAAAUAAAUGGCGUGGACCCGGUUCACGGGGCAAUCGCGCCGGGCCUCCAUGUGGGCGUGGUUCUCCGCCUGCGACCUGCCUAUCCUCCAGCAGCUGUGAGCGUAUGGUCCGAGUCUAUGUCGACGGUCGUAUGAAAUGGUGACAACUCGCGACGGAAGUAUUACGGCGGCGGCAGGCACCACAGCUCAUCACGCUAUACCCGUGAUGGGAGCAGAACAACGCGGAAUACGACGUGGGCGAAGAAGGGUCGGUACGGAGCAACUAGCAAGACGUGUACCGCCCAUGCCUCAUUUUCUUUUCUCCCUUCACAUCUCGCCUUCGUUAGGCCGCCUGUUGUGGGGAAUGUAAAUAAAUGUACGUAUUUUGAGAAAGGUUAAAUAAAAUACUUCAAUUACAA